rnacentral:misc_RNA from 1 species
GCCAUCAUGAAUCUCUACUUCAAUGGUAUAACCUCCGUUGUUGAUGAGAAAUAUAAUAUUCUUUUGUGCACAUCUUAUCAUGGUUGAUAUAUCCUGAGCAGUAACCUGGAAGCUUCCAUCCCCGAUGCAGGCAAUGAUACGUUUAUCUUUAGCAGCCUGAGCAUAACCGAGAGUAGCACCGACUGACCAGCCAAUGGAUCCAUACUGCAUCUGGAAUUCAAACCCGCAAUUUUCUGGAAGAUUUAGCUUCUGACAAUUGAACCAUGAGUCCCCGGUCUCAGCAAUCACUGCAGUGUUACCGCUUAGCAUUUCCUGAAUGUGCUUGAAGAGUAUAUUGACUCGAAGAAGUUCAUCCUUCUCGCGUUUCAAGGCAACACCCGGAGGGACAUAAAUACGAUGGUGAUUUUCCAAAGCAGUGGAAUUCUUCUUCAGCUUUUUGGCCAAUGCACUUAAGAAAUCAGUCAUGAAAACCCAACCAAAGGAGGGGCCAUUUCCAAUAGUCACACGAUGAGGUUCAACAACAAUCAACUUCUCCUUUUUAAUCAGCAAUGAGUAUCCAACAGAGCUGUAGUCAUUGAAUAUGGGGCCGACAAAGACAUAAGCAUCCGCUGAUUCAAUAAUCUCCCCACAAAAACUCGAACUCACUGCUCCCCAGUAUGUCCCAAUGAAACUAGGGUGGUGCUCUGGCACCAGUCCCUUACCAGAUGGCAUUACUGCCAACGGAUAGCCACAUGCAUCAGCAAGUUCCACAAAGGCCUUUUGUGCUUUUCCCACUCUUACUUUGGGACCUCCCACAAUAACUGGUUUCACAGACUUGUUCAAGAACUCUGCUGCUGCU